rnacentral:rRNA from 1 species
UACGUAGGGUGCAAGCGUUGUCCGGAAUUAUUGGGCGUAAAGAGCUCGUAGGCGGUCUGUUGCGUCGGCUGUGAAAACCCGAGGCUCAACCUCGGGCCUGCAGCCGAUACGGGCAGACUAGAGUUCGGUAGGGGAGACUGGAAUUCCUGGUGUAGCGGUGAAAUGCGCAGAUAUCAGGAGGAACACCGGUGGCGAAGGCGGGUCUCUGGGCAGUAACUGACGCUGAGGAGCGAAAGCGUGGGGAGCGAACAGG